rnacentral:tRNA from 1 species
GCCAACAUAGCUCAGUCGGUAGAGCGAUUCACUCGUAAUGAAUAGGUCGCCGGUUCGACUCCGGCUGUUGGCU